rnacentral:ncRNA from 1 species
GGUCUGGCGCACCAGCGGGUCGGCGAAGUUCGACAGCUGGAACGGGUCGAAGUAGCCGCCCGGAUUGGCCGUCAUCCACGAAUAGAUGCGGCUGGAACCCAGCCAUUGCAGCAGCAGGUAGCAGACCUCGGGAUGUUUGCUCUGCGCCGAGACUGACGCCGAGAGGUUGAGCCACAGGACAGAGCGGCUGACGAGCUGGCCGCCGACAUCGCGGCCGGGCGGCAGCAUG